ACCAUAGCUCAGUCGGUAGAGGAUGAGGCUCUUAAUCUCAGAGUUGUGGGUUCAAGCCCCAUUUUGGGCA